UUAAUUAAAACCAAAAUAGAGGUAUCUUAAUGUUAAUAAGGAGAUUGAAUUUAUAUUCUAAUUAAA
rnacentral:tRNA from 1 species